UACAGAGGUGGCGAGCGUUGUUCGGAUUCAUUGGGCGUAAAGGGUCCGUAGGCGGCCCGAAAAGUCGGAUGUGAAAUCCCACAGCUCAACUGUGGAACUGCAUUCGAAACUUUCGGGCUCGAGCGCAGAAGGGGUGAAGGGAAUUCCCGGUGUAAGGGUGAAAUCUGCAGAGAUCGGGAGGAACACCAGUCGCGAAGGCGCUUCACUGGUCUGCCGCUGACGCUCAGGGACGAAAGCCAGGGGAGCAAACGGG
rnacentral:rRNA from 1 species